GACGAACGCUGGCGGCGUGCCUAAUACAUGCAAGUAGACCUGAGUUGCGAACGGGUGAGUAACGCGUAGGAACCUGCCCCAUAGCGGGGGAUAACUAUCGGAAACGAUAGCUAAUACCGCAUACUUUUACAUGGAUCUGCGUGGGAUUAGCUAGUUGGUGUGGUAAAGGCUCACCAAGGCGACGAUACAUAGCCGGCCUGAGAGGAUGAUCAGCCACACUGGAACUGAGACACGGUCCAGACUCCUACGGGAGGCAGCAGUGGGGAAUAUUGGACAAUGGGCGAAAGCCUGAUCCAGCCAUGCCGCGUGUGUGAAGAAGGUCUUCGGGUUGUAAAGCACUUUAAGUUGGGAGGCGUUACCAGCAGAAUAAGCACCGGCUAACUUCGUGCCAGCAGCCGCGGUAAUUC
rnacentral:rRNA from 1 species